UACGUAGGGUGCAAGCGUUGUCCGGAAUUAUUGGGCGUAAAGAGCUCGUAGGCGGUUUGUUGCGUCGGCUGUGAAAUCCCGAGGCUCAACCUCGGGUGUGCAGUCGAUACGAGCAAACUAGAGUGUUGCAGGGGAGACUGGAAUUCCUGGUGUAGCGGUGAAAUGCGCAGAUAUCAGGAGGAACACCGGUGGCGAAGGCGGGUCUCUGGGCAAUAACUGACGCUGAGGAGCGAAAGCGUGGGGAGCGAACAGG
rnacentral:rRNA from 1 species